AUUUCGCGGAGACCAGCUGUUCAACAGACUUCAUCUUCGCAGCAGAGGAAGGUCAGACCAAAAGUUGGGGAGUAACAAGAGGAGGGUGGAAACCCAGAUGAUGAUGAUCUUCUGGAAUGUCUGGCUGAUAGAGGCGGAUGGCUGCUGCUCUUCGCCAAAAUAAAAUACCAAAUGCUGCGCUCUGUGUUGGGAAUUCUCAAAUGACUGGCUCAGGACCCAGGAAGUAAGUACAAGCUACAGUCUGAACCAAAGUAGUUCUGGAUCGUACCUCUAGGUUUGAAAAGAGAAAAAAAUUACUAAGACGUUGAUGGAGAGGACCGAUCGUUUAUAGGGAAUGUUACUUCCAUCCCGGAUGACAAAUGAGAAUGAUUUAUUUAUUUAACUGUAAAUGUCUUACUAAUAGUUAUAUAUGUUGCGUUCUGCAUUAGACAGUGUAUCUCCCUUGAAAAAGAAGGUGAUUAUUCACAGAAAGCUGGCUCCCUGGUUUAAUUUAGAGCUGCGUUCUUUUUGGAAAAAAAAUGUUAGGAAAUUGAAGAGAAAAUAGAGCUCUACACACCAUGAGGAAUCCUACCUGAUCUAGAAAAACAGUCCACUGUUGUAUAAAAAGACCCUUCACUGAGUUAGAGCAGCAUAUUUUUAAUCAUUAAUUG